rnacentral:rRNA from 1 species
GACGAACGCUGGCGGCGUGCUUAACACAUGCAAGUCGUGCGGUAAGGCCCUGUCGGGGGUACUCGCGUGGUGACCGGGUGCGUGACACGUGAGUAAGGUGAACCCACCUUUGGGACUAGGAUAGGAUCCUGGAGCCAGUGCUGGAUCUGUGUUCCUGAUUCAAGGUGGGGGUUGGAAAGCUACGGCGGGUGUUGAUGUCCCCGCGCCCUAUCAGCUAGUUGGUGGGGUACUGUCUUAAGAAGGCGGCGAUGCGUAGCAGACCUGAGAGGGUGACCGGCCACAAUGGAACUGAGACACGGUUCAGCACUCUAAGGGAGCCAGGAGUAGGGCAGGUUCCGCAAUGGGCGAAAGCUUGACGGAGCAACGACGCGUGAGUGAUGAAGGUCUUCGGAUCGUAAAACUCUGUUAUUAGGGAAGCACAAAUGUGUAAGUAACUAUGCACGUCUUGACGGUACCUAAUCAGAAAGCCACGGCUAACUACGU